rnacentral:rRNA from 1 species
UGAGGAAUAUUGGUCAAUGGGCGCGAGCCUGAACCAGCCAUUCCGCGUGAAGGAAGAAGGCCUUAUGGGUUGUAAACUUCUUUUCUGUAAGAAGAAAAGUCCCGACGUGUCGGGAUGUGACGGUAUUAUAGGAAUAAGCAUCGGCUAACUCCGUGCCAGCAGCCGCGGUAAUACGGAGGAUGCAAGCGUUAUCCGGAUUUAUUGGGUUUAAAGGGUGCGCAGGUUGUUUUAUAAGUCAGUGGUGAAAGUCUGUCGCUUAACGAUAGGAUUGCCAUUGAUACUGUAGGACUUGAGUAUGGAUGAGGUAGGCGGAAUGUGUAGUGUAGCGGUGAAAUGCAUAGAUAUUACACAGAACGCCGAUUGCGAAGGCAGCUUACUAAUCCAUGACUGACGCUGAGGCACGAAAGCGUGGGGAUCAAACAGG